UGUCCACACACCUAGAGACACAUCGGAGUUGCAGCAUUUCCUGCUGGAAGGCAAAUGCAUUGCCCUGACCUGGUUCUUCUUUGCCAAGGAAGGGAAUGUGUGAGCUGAAUCCUGCAAGGAAGGGGCACUGGGCAAGACGCGUCCUAUUUGUCAGGAGUUUGCAUUCACAAAGAAGGACUAAAGCAGCUUCUCUAGGGCAAGCUCCUUCCAGGGCUGAGGCCAGCCGAGACCAUGGGGGGAAGACCCCAGACUGUCUUCAUGGUGAAGAGAGACGUCUGCUCCGAUUUGCACAGGGAGUUUUUUAGCAUCGGGAACAAAAGCAGCGUUUCUAUUCCCCAGUCUUCACAACAGCAGCUUACCAUUCCUGGCACAUCUCUGUCCUCUGCUUCCUGCAUUUUAAAACCUUUGCUAAUACCACCCUACCUAUUCUCCCCGAGUCCAAAUCCGGAAGAAAAUAAUAUGCUGCUUAUAA
rnacentral:lncRNA from 1 species